CUAUAGUUACCUCGUGGGCGAGGUUGGGAGCGGCGAGGGCGCGAGGCCGGCGAGGUGGACGGGGAGGACUGCGUGUGACGGCGACGGCGGUGGCGCCGAUAUGACCGAGGACGAGCGUAUGCCGGGCGAUGUGAGGAGGAAGGCAUGCGACGUCAACGCUGAUCCGGGUGACGCGGCCUGCGACGGCGAACUUGCGGCGGCAUGGACUCGAGCGGGGAGGGGCGGCGCGUCGGUCGGCGGGGACAAGAUUAGGGUUAGGGUGAGAGGGUUGCACGAUUUCGGGAUAAGAAAAGGAAAUCACGCGAUUGAGAUCGGUGGCGGCGAGACGACGGAUGCAACAACGGCGGAGCGGCGGCGGUCGAGGGCGGUGGCGCCGCGUGAGAGGGAGAGAUUAGGGUUGGAGAGGGGGGCGCGAUUGGGGAGGGGCGGCGGCGCGAUAGACGAAAGAAGAGGAGGCGGCAACGAUUGGGAGGAGGUGGGGAGGAGGCCAACGAGCAGGGGAGGCAUCGGGGGUGGAGGAGUGAGGAGUCGAUGGCGGUGCGUGGAGUCAAGGUGGCGGUGGAGUCGAGGGUUUUGGAGGCGGCGCGGGUGGAGUGGAGUGCAACGGCUGAGUGCGGAGGAGUCAACGUCGCAGAGGGGUGGAGCGCGUGGUGCAGCGGCGGUGGCACAUAAGCGUGAAGCACUAGAGGAGGCGGCGGAGGAGGUGGGGAAGAUGAUGGAAUCAACUGCAGCGAUGGGAAGGCAUUGGGCGGAGGAGGAACCAGCGUGCGGCGGCGUGCAGGUGGAGAUGACGCGGAUGAGGAAUUGGGUGCGGCACGAUGGGAGUGGAACCGUGUGCGCCGUGGAUGCAGAGAGAGAGGGAAGUGAGGGGAAGAGCGGCGUCGGCGGCGGCAUCCCUUCACGCGGAGGCGACAGAGCGAAGGAUAUGGAAGCUAGGGAGCAUGAUGACCCGACCGCCGAUGUGGAGGCAGCGGAUCGGAGAGGAUGUGGACAGGGCGAGCAUGAGUCUCCAUGGCAGCCGUCGUGCUCCUCCCACGACUAGCGCGGCUUAA
rnacentral:lncRNA from 1 species